UGUGACAUUAACGUCACGUUGAAUACACUUCAUACGUAUCGGACGUGACAGCUGGCGCGAACAUCUCCCACGGAGCGGACGAGUCAAGCAGAGUCGAGUGAGAGUGACCACCUUCUACGUCUGCUAGUGGCGAAGCUUGCCCUCACUCGGUACUCAUAGGGGAACAUGAUGUGGGCCGUCCGAUCGUCAUUGCUUGUCGAGAAUUAGUUCGUUGUUUGCUGAAGUUACGAGAUGUUUUCCGUUGUCGAUGACGACCGAUGAGCGCGCUGCUCGCUAGUGCCGCCGCGCCCUCUGCCGGCGCCGAGCGAGCACCCUACAUUGUAUGCCAAUAUAGUUGCUGGAGCGAGUGGCAGUAGGGCGCGCCGUGAGCCCGCAUGGGAAGCUGUAGAGCAGCCCUAGCACGUGGAACGAAGGGCGAGUACCGCUUAGUAACAGCUAAGGAUUAUUAAUUGUUUUAAUGCGUUUAAUGGGAUUUCUGGAUAAUUCAGAAUACCUUUUACUAAUACCUAGUUAAUAUGCGAUCCCGAGCAAUCGGAGUGAUGUAGUCACUAGUGUAGUAGUGUCUGCUCACACCGUUUGGAAGUAUAACAGUGUUACAGCAGGCCGCAGAGUGUGGUAUCGGUGCAGAGUUGCCGCGCCGGGGCCCAGCUUAUCAAUAAAACAAUUCAAUUAGACGAACACAUGAAAUUAAAAAAAAAAUGUUUUAUCACAAGUUACGAUCUCGGUGGCCUAGAGUGCCUACAAUCCGCCCGGUGCUGCGGAGGACUCGCGACGCGACGGGGGUUUACGUAGCUUAUCGACUAGCUACCACCAUCGGAUCUUCGAGCCCCGGACGGCGAUGGAAUACUCACUAAGCAUCGUAUGUUCGGUUUAUUCUCCGACCAACGGCUUCCUUAAGCUAUUCCAUUUCCCUGUCGUUGUGUAAUAGUUCAAAAAUUGUCUUAAAUAGAUAGGUAUGUUUAUUUGAAAUAGUUGUCCCAAUCCAUACCCACUAAUAGGUAUUACAAAUUCAAAACUACAAGC